CCUACGGGGGGCAGCAGUGAGGAAUAUUGGUCAAUGGACGAGAGUCUGAACCAGCCAAGUAGCGUGAAGGAUGACUGCCCUAUGGGUUGUAAACUUCUUUUAUAUGGGAAUAAUAUGUUCCACGUGUGGGAUUUUGUAUGUACCAUAUGAAUAAGGAUCGGCUAAAUCCGUGCCAGCAGCCGCGGUAAUACGGUGGAUCCGAGCGUUAUCCGGAUUUAUUGGGUUUAAAGGGAGCGUAGGUGGGUUGUUAAGUCAGUUGUGAAAGUUUGCGGCUCAACCGUAAAAUUGCAGUUGAAACUGGCAGUCGUGAGUACAGUAGAGGUAGGCGGAAUUCGUGGUGUAGCGGUGAAAUGCUGAGAUAUCACGAAGAACUCCGAUUGCGAAGGCAGCUCACUGGACUGCAACUGACACUGAGGCUCGAAAGUGUGGGUAUCAAACAGGAUUAGAUACCCGAGUAGUC
rnacentral:rRNA from 1 species